rnacentral:rRNA from 2 species
UAACACGUGGGUAACCUGCCUGUAAGACUGGGAUAACUCCGGGAAACCGGAGCUAAUACCGGAUAGUUCCUUGAACCGCAUGGUUCAAGGAUGAAAGACGGUUUCGGCUGUCACUUACAGAUGGACCCGCGGCGCAUUAGCUAGUUGGUGAGGUAACGGCUCACCAAGGCGACGAUGCGUAGCCGACCUGAGAGGGUGAUCGGCCACACUGGGACUGAGACACGGCCCAGACUCCUACGGGAGGCAGCAGUAGGGAAUCUUCCGCAAUGGACGAAAGUCUGACGGAGCAACGCCGCGUGAGUGAUGAAGGUUUUCGGAUCGUAAAGCUCUGUUGUUAGGGAAGAACAAGUGCAAGAGUAACUGCUUGCACCUUGACGGUACCUAACCAGAAAGCCACGGCUAACUACGUGCCAGCAGCCGCGGUAAUACGUAGGUGGCAAGCGUUGUCCGGAAUUAUUGGGCGUAAAGGGCUCGCAGGCGGUUUCUUAAGUCUGAUGUGAAAGCCCCCGGCUCAACCGGGGAGGGUCAUUGGAAACUGGGAAACUUGAGUGCAGAAGAGGAGAGUGGAAUUCCACGUGUAGCGGUGAAAUGCGUAGAGAUGUGGAGGAACACCAGUGGCGAAGGCGACUCUCUGGUCUGUAACUGACGCUGAGGAGCGAAAGCGUGGGGAGCGAACAGGAUUAGAUACCCUGGUAGUCCACGCCGUAAACGAUGAGUGC